AGAUUGAACGCUGGCGGCAGGCCUAACACAUGCAAGUCGAGCGGUAGAGAGGUGCUUGCACCUCUUGAGAGCGGCGGACGGGUGAGUAAUGCCUAGGAAUCUGCCUAGUGGUGGGGGAUAACGUUCGGAAACGGACGCUAAUACCGCAUACGUCCUACGGGAGAAAGCGGGGGACCUUCGGGCCUCGCGCCAUUAGAUGAGCCUAGGUCGGAUUAGCUAGUUGGUGAGGUAAUGGCUCACCAAGGCGACGAUCCGUAACUGGUCUGAGAGGAUGAUCAGUCACACUGGAACUGAGACACGGUCCAGACUCCGUACGGGAGCAGCAGUGGGAAUAUUGGACAAGUGGGACGGAAGCCUGAUCCAGCAACGCCGCGUGAGGAUGGACGGCCUUCGGUUGUAACCUC
rnacentral:rRNA from 1 species